CCUACAAGUCCAUCAGAAGCAUUUCAACUGGAUGGUUACGCCUUUGGAAGAGAUUAGGGCACCAUUUCCCUCCUUUGAGGAGUUUACGGCCCUAAGACCAUUUCUUUUUGGGUUUACUAACGUAAAACCUUAUGGAAUAUGGUAUUUUGAUGUUUUCAAGUCCUAAACAUAUUAAGGAAUGAGUCUAGACUAGUUUCCAAAGCUUGUGAAGGGACUAGGGUCACUUUGGCCCCUAAAUUAGGGUUUACCGUCCAAGGUGUUCUUGGACUGUAAACACCUUUGAUCAUGGGUUUCAAUGGUGUUUUCUUGAUGUAAAGGAGUGUAUCAAGCCUUAACAUACUCUAAGAUAGAAGUACUUACAAUAUAGAAGCUUGAAAAGGUCCAAAAGUCCAAGAACACUAGUGUGUGUUCUUGGUGUUCUUGGUGAAACUUGAAGAAUCAAGCUUUUGGAAAGAUUUCAUGGAUAGAAGUGUGUUAAAUCACUAGAUUAAGUGAUAUACUAACUUGAAAGGGCUAGAAACACUUACUAGAUGAAGAUCUUGAAGAGUUCUUUGGAUGAUACUUGAGAGAGUUUGAGAUUUGGAUCUUGAAAGUUGGAAAAUGGUAAAAAUAACUAAGUGUCACUUUUAUACCAUUUCCCUUUAGGGUUUAUGGCCAUAAACUCCUUGUUUAGGCCGUAAUCUCUAAACUUUUGAUGUGUCGGGACUUUAUUGUUGUACAAUAAACCUUAGGGCAUCAUGUCUCUUGAUAUCUCCAAAGUUGUUAAGCCUAAAAUACUUAAACUUAUUCCAAAAGCUUGAAAGUUUCUAGAAACUGUUCUGACUUCUAUUGAAUGGAAAUGUUGUACAGAAUAGAAAUUUUGGAUUGUCACAUCAUCCCCUCCUUAAAAGGAAUUUCAUCCCGAAAUUAGAGUUUAAGCAAAUAAGUAGUUACAAAUAACUAAGUAAAAAGACGAGGAUAUUUCAGUUUCAUCUAAUCCUCUCGCUCCCAAGUGAAUUUCGGUCCUCGCUUGGCGUUCCAGUGGACCUUCACUAUCGGGAUACGGCUUUGCUUCAGUUGCUUGACCUCUUGGUCCUUGAUCUCUACUGGUUCUUCCACGAAGUUGAGGCUCUUGUUGAUCUCGAUCUCAUCGAGUAGGAUAACAAGAGUCUCGUCGGACAGGCACAUUUUCAAGUUCGAGACGUGGAAGAUAGAAUGUACGUUACUGAGUUCGUGAGGUAAGUUAAGUUUGUAAGCUACAGGGCCGAUUCUUGUGAGAAUCUAGAAAGGCCCUAUGUACCUUGGAUUUAUCUUUUCACGCUUUCCGAAGCAUAUCAAGCCCUUCCAAGGUGAGCCCUUCAAUAGAACGCGGUUGCCCACCUGGAAUUCCAACGGUUUCCUUCGCUUAUCAGCGUAGCUUUUCUGUCGGUCUCUAGAGGCUUUCAAUCGUUCAUGAAUCUGAACGAUCUUCUCUAUUGUUUCCCGUAUGAUCUCCGGACCUAUGAGAGUGCUGUCAGGAACUCGUCCUUUAGCUAACUGGGUAUCACCCACCUCAGCCCAGCAUAGAGGGGAUCUGAACUUUCGGCCAUAGAGGGCCUCGAAUGGAGCAGCCUUUAUGCUCGUGUGAUAACUGUUGUUGUAGGAAAAUUCGACAAUGGGUAAAUGAGUAUCCCAUGCUUUCCCAAAGUCGAUCACACAGGCUCGCAACAUAUCUUCCAACGUUUGGAUAGUUCUCUCACUUUGCCUGUCGAUCUGUGGAUGGUAGGUUGUACUCAUGUCCAGCCUAGUUCCUAAGGAACUUUGUAACGACUGGAAGAACCUCGAAAUGAGUCUACUAUCUCUGUCCGAGAUAAUGGAUAAGGGAUCACCGUGCAGUCGUACAAUCUCUCUAAUGUAAGUUCUUGUAAGUUUCUCCAUCUUGUCUGUUUCCUUGAUAGGCAGGAAGUGUGCAGAAUUGGUCAAUCUGUCGACGAUGACCCAUAUGGUAUCAAGUCCACCCGUUGUCUUGGGCAACUUGGUUAUGAAAUCCAUAGUGAUCCGCUCCCACUUCCAUUAUGGAAUCUCGGGCUGUUGUAGUAGACCGAAAGGUUUCUGGUAUACGACCUUGACCUUUGCGCAAGUAAGGCAUUUACUAACGAAGGUAGCAAUUUCUGCUUUCAUGUUAGGCCACCAGUAUAACUUUUUAAGAUCCAGAUACAUCUUAUAUGAACCCGGGUGCACGGAAUAACGAGUGUUGUGCGCCACGUUCAUGACCAAGUCUCUGAAGCCAACGAGUUUCGGGGUCCAGAUCCGGUCCAUGAAAUAAUAAGCUCCGCCACCCUUAACCUCCAAGUUCUUAUCCAUCCCUCUCAGGGAUUCACCCGCCACAUUUUCAGGCUUCAAAGUGUCGAGAUGAGCUGCCUUAAUUUGUGUUGACAAGUGUGAAUGGAUAGUCAUAGUCAAUGAUUUGACUUUACGACCAGAAUAUUCUUUCCAACUUAGGGCGUCAGCUACUACAUCGGCUUUACCCGGAUGAUAAAGAAUUUCGCAUUCGUAAUCACUGAGUAGCUCGACCCACCGUCGUUGUCUCAUGUUGAGCUCCUUCUGGUCGAAUAUGUGUUGUAGGCUUUUGUGGUCUGUAAAGAUAGUGCUUUUCGUACCGUACAGGUAAUGUAUCCAGAUCUUCAGAGCAAACACAACUGCUUCCAGUUCAAUAUCGUGGGUCGUGUAGUUGACCCCAUGUGUCUUUAGCUGUCUCGAGGCAUAGGCGAUGACCUUAACUCAAUGCAUCAGAACACAUCCGAGUCCUUGAUUCGACACAUCGCAAUAGACAACGAAGUCUUCUAUUCCUUCAGGGAGGGAUAGUAUUGGUGCGGUGCACAAGGCUCGUUUGAGCGUUUGAAAUGCUCUUUCCUACUUCUCUUCCCAGUCAAAGGCCACGCCCUUCUGGGUCAGUGUUAUAAGAGGUUUCGCAAUGCGGGAGAAGUUCUGAAUGAACCUGCGAUAGUAGCCAGCAAGGCCUAGAAAUUGACGAAUUUCUAUAGAUGUCUUCGGUGCUGACCAGUUCUCAAUGGCUUUGAUUUUGGAAGGGUCCACGUGUAUUCUCUCUUCGCUAACCAUGUGCCCUAAGAAUUCGACUCGUCGGAUCCAAAAUUCGCAUUUCUAGAACUUCGCGUAGAGCUUCUCCGAACGUGAUGUUUCUAAGACCUGUCACAGAUGUUGACUAUGCUCCUCCUUACUACGAGAGUACAUAAGUAUGCCAUCAAUGAAAACGAUGACGAACUGAUCCAAGUAAGGACAACACACCCUAUUCAUUAAGUCCAUGAAUACAGCGGGCGCGUUUGUUAAUCCGAACGGCAUCACUACGAAUUCGUAGUGCCCAUAACGAGUUCGGAAGGCUGUCUUUGGAACAUCCUCCCCUAGCACUCGUAGUUGGUGAUAUCUGGAUCUCAAGUCGAUUUUUGAAAAGAAGUUCACUCCUUGUAGUCCCUGUAGUCGAUGCACAUACGAAACGAUCCGUCUUUCUUCUUGACGAACAAGACUAGAUCUCCCCAGGGUGAGAAGCUUGGUCUUAUAAAGCCCUUGCUGAGCAGUUCGUUAAAUUGAUAGGACAGUUCUUGCAUCUCUGCAGGUGCUAGACGAUAGGGCGAUUUGGCUACGGGGGUAGCCCCUGGAACUAAGUCGAUUCGGAACUCGACUUGAUGUUGCGGAGGUAAUCCUAGGAGUUCUUCUGGAAAGACGUCAGGAAAGUCGCGUACUACUAGAAUGUUCUGAAUGCCCUUCGUUUCUUGGCUCGCAUUGACCACAAGAGCAAGGAAUGCUCGACAUUCCUUUCGCAAGAAUUUCUGAGCUUGAAUGCUUGAAAUGAUAUGAAGGUUCGUGUCGGGCUUGUCGCCAUAAACUACUAGAGUUUUGCAAGACAGCAGAUUAAGGUGAACAGCCUUUUCGUAACACAUGAUAUCGGCACGAUGUAAACUCAACCAAUCCAUGCUGAUAAUGACGUCGAAACUUUUAAUUGAGACCGGCAUGAGAUCGAUCGAAAAUGAAUGGCUAUCUAAAGUUAGGGUACACCCUAUAAAUAUACUGCUAGUGCUCUCUGUCUUUCCAUUAGCCAUUUCUACAGUGAAUGGUUCAUUAAGUGCUGGUGAUUUUUGCUUAAGUAAAUGAGCAAAUUUUUGGUUCACGAACCUCCUCUCUGCUCCACUAUCAAAUAGAAUGCAUGCAUAGGAGUUAUCGAGGAGGAACAUACCAGUGACCACUGUCGGGUCGGCAAACGCUUCCUCAUGGCCUAUGGCCAGAACUCUUGCCGCUCCACCGGCAAACCCUGCCUUCGGGCAGUUCCUAUUGAAGUGACCUACCUCACCACAUCCGUAGCAAGUUUGGCCCACUCCAACACAGGGGACUUGGUUGACUGGAUUCGCCGGAGCUUUACAGAAACGGGUAGUGUGCCCCUUCCCGUUGCAGUUCAAACACUGCAUUUCCCGGUAGGCACCAACGUGAUGGAAGUUGCAUUUCUUGCACUUGGGCAAACUUCCAGCGUACUGCUUUACCGGAGCAGCAGCGGCAGGUGCUAUCGCAGCAUGAAUUGCCACGACCUGCUGCUUCUUGAUAGCCUUUGCCUUCUUUUUGUCCUCCUAGAACUUCCGCUUGGGGCCAGCGGUUUUGGAAGGUUCUGUGAUGGCCAGGGUUGUUGUUGCGGCCGGGGUACGAACCCCAUGCUCUAUGAGCCGCUGUGCCAAUCGUUUGGCACUAUCAAAUGUAAUGGGGUGUGAUGCCAAGACAUUUCCCUGCUAUGGUGGCAUCACCCCCCAUAUGUACCUCUUGAUUUUCUUUCCCUUUGUAUGAACCAUGUUGGGACAGAGGGCCACCAACUCACAGAAUCUAGCGGUGUAGGAGACUACGUUGGAGCCCUUCAUGGUUAGGCUUCACAGUUCUUCCUCUAGCUUCUGGAUCUCACCCCUCGGGCAGUACUCCUCAAUCAUGAGGUCUUUCAAAGUUUCCUAGCCCAUAGAAUUUGCCAAUAUGAGAGAUAGUGACUUAACAUGGCUAUUCCACCAUGUUAGGGCUUUUGUUUCGAAUGUGCAACCAACAAACUUUACCUUGCUCUUCUCCGGACAGGAGCAGAUUUUGAAAACUGAUUCGGUUUUCUCGAACCAUUGCGAGAGGGAAAUGACUCCGCCAAUCCCUUUGAAGGACAAUGGCUUGCAGUUGGUGAAGUCCUUGUAGGAGCACUCUUUCAAGUGCACAGGGAUUUCACCAUGAGUAGACAGGACAGGGGUUCCUCCUCAGUGGAACUAGAUGAAUGAUAUUAAGCCAUGGUUGUAGCCACAGCUGCAACUACAACAACAUUUAGGGUUGUCGUGUCGAACUGAGGAGUAGGUGGUUGAGGAGGUGGAGGAGGUUGUGUUUCAUUAUUGAGGCAUCUCCUUGGAUUUCUGCGAGGCGACAUCUUUGAUCUAUAAGUUUGUGAAGAUGAAAACAUUGAUAAGAAUUUAAUGGAAGAAUUGAUGAGAAUGACUCAUGGACUAAGUCUUCAUAGCCCAAUAGUACGAUUGAUUGUAGAUAUUAGAACUAAUAGAUGAUCACAUUUGGAUAAUAAUUCCCAUGAGAUUAGGUACUUGUCAAUAUUACUGGAAUUACAGAUGUAACAAGUUCGGGAAAAUGGCCUAGAAGUAGGCCUUUCAUCAACCAAAAUGGGAAAAUUUUGACAGAAUUACAACCUAACCAAGACCUAACAGGCCUGUGAUUUACAAAGAUAUGAAAUUAGACCAGAUUUUCACAUAACUAGGUUAUAUCCAAAAGAGAGAAGUUGAUGAGAAUCUAUCGACGACGAGAACUACCACAGUGACUUCUUGAUCCUGAUAGAAGACAUUCUAUGUCCCUCAUGUGCCUAUCAGAUCUCUCUUGCUGAGCUUGAAGUUCUCUGACUUCGGCGUGGGUUUCAGCGAGUUCCCUCUGAAGAGCUGCAUUAUGGACCAGUGUCCUUUCAUGAGCAGACUCUAGCUGGCGAAUGCGGACUGUGUUAACACCAGAGUUGGCGUCAAUCUCCACGACUCGGCCGAUAGCCACUCGACCCUGCUCUGUGUUCCAAGCAAUCCUACGAACUGUGAUGGGUAGGACUCUAUCAGCGGAACCUCCCUCAGUAAGGUUGUAGAAGCUUCUGUCUCCGUUGUAGGGCAUAGGUUGACCUUGUUCCUGACUCCAUCUAUUCAAUUUCAUCGCCCACAGAGGUGUGGGUCCUUGAAAUGUUGGCCGAGCAUUUGGGUUUUGAUCAGCUGGAGGUAGGUUGUUGACUUCUGGAUCUGAGUCAGAACCAUCAGAAAAACCUUCAGCUUAAUGAUCAUCCAAAGGGAUUGGGAAAUCAUCUUAUGGUUAUUCUUCCAGCCAUCCUGCAUUGUCGUGGUUGGGGUAGCACGGGUCUCCGGGAAGGUGGAAUCCAUCCAUUUAAUCUACGCGAGAAGAGAGGUAUAAGAAUCUAGUACAUAAGUAGCUUAUAGUAACACAAAAUACUCCUAUAGUAUUUUAAGUUUAGGUUCUAUUGUUCUCAUUGUGGUAUUGUGGGUAAGUUUUUAGACUUGUUGCAACCUCACAACCAUACUUACGCACAUGCUAGUCAAUCCUUUGAUAAUAUAGUUGAUCAGGCUAUAUCUUCCCAGUUUUGACUAUAUGUCUCUAAGUCUACUUGUGCUACCCAAUAAUUGUAAUACUUUUGUACUGUCUUAGUGACAUUGAUUUUAGUAUGAAUGCAGGAACGUAUACUAAAUUAAAUAUUUUAAUAUUUAAAGUAUAAACUCUUAGUCAGAGUAUUUUUAUCCCAUUGUAUUUAUAGUUAAUAUAUCUUUUAUGGGUUGAUAUACUCAAUUCACUAUAAACAAUGCUCUGAUACCAAUCUGUCACACCCCCAAAACCAUGAACGGCGGAAACAUUCUGGGGUGGAGGACUCCAUGUACAGUAUCACAACAAUGAAUAGUAGUAAACAAGAAACAACAUCAUCCAUUGCACUAAUAAUAUAAUUUAUACAAGUGUGUUCUGUCAAGUUAAAUAGACACCAAAAAUACAUAUCAAAAUAAAAGACGAGUUUUGAACGAACUCCAUCUUCUCAAAACCUGACACUUGUACCUGUCUACUGGUGACCUGAGAAUACAAGUUAUUUUGAAAGCGAGUAUUAGCUUUAAAGUUGGUGAGAUCAUAAGUAUAUUAGUGUCUUUAUUUGUAUGAAAGUAUUUGUAAAAUGUUUUGUAAGAUGUAUGAACUCUCCUAGAAAACCCUAUGUUUCCUACUAAAAGUAGCUUUCUACCAAGGCAUCUAGUAUCUACGUGUGUCUCUUGUAAGAGUGUGUAUUUUCCCAAAUCCGACUACCAUUAACCAAAAAUAUAGUUUUUACAUUACCGUGCAUCAUGUGAAUAUUCACGAAGUGAAUGUAAUGGGAAAAUAUCAUAAUACUGUAGUAUUGUAAUAAGUAACUAUUGUUGUACUAACUACCUUAAACCAAUUGUAAUUUAAAGUAACAUGUGAUCGGCCUGUAUCCUGCUACCGACUCUAGUAAAACGAUGAUGUAAGACGUCAUAAGAAAUGACAUUUGGCACCCUUAGACUUGCAAGUCCCACUGUAGCGAGCAGCAAGGUAUAUGAUAGUCAAUCCAGUAUAGAUCUAUACACCAACUCAUACGCUCCCUAAUUAAGGAGAUUUUGGAUACAAGAACGGCCAUGGCAGGUAGUGCCAUGCCCCGUUUAAUGGCUCACAUAACUACAUGAAUGUAUAUGUAAUGUAUGUGCUAGUUGUAAUGUGUGUUCUUUCUCUGUCUAGCCUGUAUGUACUGUAAUGUUCUGCGUGUACUAGCUGUAAUGUGUGUUCUCUAUCUAUCUAGCAUGUAUAGUAAUGUACUGUGUGUACUAGCUGUAUUGUGUGCUCUCUCUCUAUCUAGCAAGUAUUGACUCGUGAAUGAACUGACUGAUUGUAUGAUUCUUUGUUCUAGUAAUAGUAUUAGUAACUUCCUAAACUACGCCUAUCAUAGUUUACUAGCAAUACGACCUUUAUGUAUGAACAUGAACAUAUACCCUUGCUACCCAAGGGUAUUGAAUUGACUGAUAGAACAUUUAUGUCUAUGAAUGUAUACAUAAUAUAUAACUAGUAUUUAGACGACCUUCAGACGGAUAACCGAUGCCCUAAAGCCACAUCCCAACGAGGAAAAGGAGAUAAAGCGAGCUAGCCUUCCUAAGUCCUUUAAACAUUACUUAUAUAACUAUACAUCCAUAGGCAUGCAUUUGACAAUAUAAAAGUAUAAAAAGAGUUUAAGUAAAAGUAUUUGACAACAGAAGAGUUUGUAAAAUAGUUUGAAGCAAAACAGUUUCAUAACACAAUUUGAAAAGUAAGAAUACCACUUGAUUGGUAGUUAACAAUCACAUCUGAUUGAUAUAAUAACUAUAAUUAUCCAACUUGUAUUCCCCCCCCCCCCCCNNNNNNCCCCCCCAUAAAAGCAUUUAAAAACAUUAAAAGGUCAAUUUAAGGGGUAUGAACUCACCUGUAGUGAGUGGUAUGGAUGAACUGAUGAAACAGGAUUGCUAGGAGUCAAGUGAAGACUUGAGCACUCACAAGGAUCCUAGUUAACAUAUAAUACCACAUAUAUGUAUCCAAUUAGGAUUCAAGGAAACCCCCUUAAAUGAGUUUACGGUUUUGUGACCAUCACUCAUUGAUUUUACGGUCAUAAACUCAUACUCUUUUGACCAUGAUUUUAUUUGAAGCCCUACAAGUCCAUUAGAAGCAUUUCAACUGGAUGGUUACGCCUUUGGAAGAGAUUAGGGCACCAUUUCCCUCCUUUGAGGAGUUUACGGCCCUAAGACCAUUUCUUUUUGGGUUUACUACCGUAAACCCUUAUGGAAUGUGGUAUUUUGAUGUUUUCAAGUCCUAAACGUAUUAAGGAAUGAGUCUAGACUAGUUUCCAAAGCUUGUGAAGGGACUNCUAAAGUAUUAAGGAAUGAGUCUAGACUAGUUUCCAAAGCUUGUGAAGGGACUAGGGUCACUUUGACCCCUAAAUUAGGGUUUACGGUCCAAGGUGUUCUUGGACUGUAAACACCUUUGAUCAUGGGUUUCAAUGGUGUUUUCUUGAUGU
rnacentral:lncRNA from 1 species